CGGCACAAAGCUUGUCACAGUUCAGGUCAUAGCUGAGUGUGAAGCAUUGCCGGGGGAUCAGCAUGUCUAUCUGACCCCGGAGAGAGACUGGGAGAAGGGGCUUUAAACCAUCUGCAGGGAACCAGUGAUGGCAUUAGAACAUCGAUCUGACAUGUUACGGCCCAAACCCUCCUCAAUGUGUCGAUGUAGUUCCUGAAACAGACAGAAAACAGAGGCUGACACUGAAGCAAAUCCAGACAAGAUGCAUCAUUAUCCAGACUGCUCGUUAACUGCAGUCUUGAGUGAGCAGCUCCAGCUGUUUGUCAAUAAAACCCAAGCGCUCCUGUCGUUCCUCUCGCAUCUCCAGGCAGUAAACCCUGAGAAAAGAAGGUGCCUAUCAGAAAGAAGCAUCCGCACAUCUCUGAUCUUCAAGCUAAAUGGAAUCCCAGAGACUGUGAGAUGCAUUCCUGUGCAUACAGAGGCAGCCAUCAGAAAAUCAGCAGCGACCAGAGGCAUUAACAUAGACCUCUCUUCUGCAUCAUUUACUGUCAACAGCCCAAAGUUACAGGCUCCAUUCUUUUCCACCCCCUCAAGAGGACUGUAGUGCUCACCUCAAAUCGUCUCUCGAAGUUUUGAAACUCAAACAUUCUUACUUGAAAUCCUUCUGCCAAUGCUCCACCUAGGGCAAGGUGGAGGACACAAGGUUACCAGGGCAAAUUUACAGAAAGUGAACAGAGAAUUUGAAGCACCAGCAGGAAAGGCAGAAACAUCUCUGGGGCUGGUUCUACUGACCUGCCAGAUACCCUCUUGUUUAAUUUUGGCUUCUCUUCACUCCCCCACUUUUUAGUUAAAUCACCAAUUGAUUAUUUGAGAUAAGACAAUCUUUACCUUCCCGCACAAAUGAAAUGAAAGACAGAGCUGGUAGUUUUCCUACCUCCUUCCGGCAUCCCUUGAGCUUUCUGGAUCCUGGCAUUUAGCACUUCCUUCGCUGACACAAAGAAGAUGCGGUCCCCAGCCUGCGCUCGAUCCACCACACCCAGUUCAUCCACUAGAAAACUGGUGCAGCGCUCCAUGUGCUGUCGACGGACCUGAAGGAUAAACCCACCCAGACACACUGUUUUAAAGUCUGCUUGAUAGUCCACACCAUUGCAUUCAACAGGAUCAGGCAACCAGAUGCCCCCUGCAGGCCCUAUAUAGCAAUACAAGUCUACAAUAAAAAUAUUUUGCUCUUUUAUAGCUCCUUUGUGGGUCUCAAAGCACUUUUCAUACAUUAAGCCUCACAAAACCCCUGUGGGAUAGUUGAAUACUCUAACCAUUUACAAAUACAUAAACUGAGGCAUGAAGAUAUUAAGUGAUCUGUCACAGGUCCCCAAAAAUGUCAGUGACAAUAACCAUUAGACCAUACUGUCUGCCAGAUGACUCCUCAUUAUGGUAAGCAAAGUCCAGACUGUAAGAGAAUCAUCCUCUCUUACCGCUAGCCACUCCUCGGCUCACAGAACGGAUCCCAGUUUGAGUGAACACCAAUUUAAAUAUGGCACAAACCUCUUCCAUGUAUUCAGGUUCUGAAGCUGAUGCAUCCCAGCGGUUAUUCAGGAUAAAAAUGUUGGGGCGAGACAGACGCUCGUUCACUUUGUGGAAGAACUGCUUCUCCUAAACAAGGAAAUCACAUAUCGAUAUGCAAAAUGUCAAAGCAUUUACCCCAAACCAGCAAGCAUUUACAAGUGGAAUUCGAGUUACCGUUUGCAUCAGCGUGGACUCAGAGUUUGCCACCAACACAAAUACAUCAGCAUCCAGACAAAACUUGUCAAUCCAGCUGUCCAGUUCUGUGGUUACAUCAAUGCCAGGGCUACAGAUAACAGAAAAACAUGUCACGAGAGCUGUGAAACUUCAAAAAUACAAUUAGUCAUUCUCCAAAGAAGAAGAAGAAAGCAGCACAUUACAUUUUCUUACAAAAGAUGCUUUCAAAAGGUGUAGCUGCUCAGCGCAGCUAAUGUCCAUACUUGAGCUACACUGUGUUCUGGGGCUAUUUAGUUCAGGAAAUGAAGGAAUUAUUAAGUGGCACUCCAUCUGCAUUUCUCAGCUCUGCUUCCAGGUCACUUCACAUCAGAGUCUCUGUACAGGAAGAGUGAAAUCUCUCACCUGUCCAUAAGCACUAGAUCAUCCUUUAAGAGAGGACAUUUGGAAUUGGGCCACAUCACACUGACCAGGCUGCCAGCAUUCAGAAAUUCAUUUUGAUGGAGAGCAUGAGCCAGUUGGUUGACUGUCUGUCAAAGGGAAGGGAGGGAGCAAGAAAAGAUCGACAGGAGUAUGUUAUUAAUGUCUGAUAACUGCUAGAAUAAUUAUCUCCCCGCCCUGAAAUAUUCACAGACAAGAAUAAGUCAAGACCCAAAUGAGAGUUAUUUUCUCCCUUUUCUGAAAAAGGGGCUGCCCCAUAAAACUGCACACAUGUCCCUGCUGAGAAAGAGCUCCAUUUAUUAGGAACUACUCAAGGGCAGGAUUCCUCAACACAUUACUGAGAUUACCCUUAUCAAGAGAAAAUUCCUUUCUGAAAUCUCUUAGAUUGGGUCAAAGUCCAUCAUCAUCAUAUACUACUUAGGAACUUACCUUGACACUCCUCUUCUCCUCUGAGCCUUCAGUAAGUAGGAAGGCAUCGUGACCAUCCGUCCCCUCCACACGCAGGAAACAAUUAGUGGUGUGUCCAAUGCCUGAGGGAAGGACUUUAUCCCACAGCAUGGCAUUUAUCACUGUGCUUUUUCCAUUGCUUGUCCUGGGGUUAAAUGCAGAGUGAGUCAUUGGGGCUCUCAAGACACAGCUGUGCUCUUUGCAUAUUACAGCCACUCAAAUCUCAAUGUCCCAAUCAGAUCCAGAAAGUGGUAGGUCAUGUAUUAGAAGCAUUCUAUCGGUAUAGGAAUACUGAAAUACUACACCAGAAGAGCAUUCCUAAUGUGGGUGUUUUGUUCAGUAUAGAUUAUUCUAUCUCCCCUGAGCAAAACAAGCCAUACCACUAAUGGUGCAGUUUUGCUGGUGUGUCUGAGUGUAUUCUUGGGGCUUUUGCCAGCUCAGAUAUGUUGAUCGGCGAUCACACCUCUUCACGCUGUCAGAACUGUGCCAGAAGCAGCCCCUCAGUGUAAAUACGACCGUAGUGCAUUAGCUGCCAUAUGCAACUUGCUGGUCAAUCAGUACUAAAAGGAUUUAUUUGGGCAUAAGCUUUCGUGGGCUAGAACCCACUUCUAAACAGAGUGAGGGAUUCUAAACGAAAGUGAGAGAAUACCAAUGAUGAUCAGACUUUUACAUUUCAGAGUCUGGACAGUUUGUGUUCCUAUAAAUACUUUUCACUGGCCAUGAUCCUAAAGAUCCCAGUUGCUUCAUUGAGACGAGUCUAGGCAACACAAUUAUCCAACUCACCUGCCAAAAAAAGCCACUUUCAUGUGUCGCCGUGCCAGCACCUCACUAAUGCCACUGACUUUUGACAGGUAUCCUUUGACCUCCAAUACCUGCUCUUCUGUGGUGACAGGGUCAAGUUCCACAUUCCUGUGUGUUUCUAAAAUGCAAAUAAAUUG